CCGCUUUCAAAUUCCAAACCAUUAUUAUUCCCUUCUCCUUCUUCUCCUUCUUCUUCUUCUUCAUCAUCAUCAAAUUCAAUUCAAGUGAAGCACCAUCACCACCACUCAGCAAUGGUGACUCUUCUUGUUGCUACAACCUCCGACCCUGCUUCCAUCAACCCUGCCAAUGCCCGCUUGGCAACCAGGAUGGCAUGAAGAGUUUCUGUAAUGAAGGGGUGAGGGUUUUGCUUCAUGGGAAGAGCAUAGUGGUUGAGGAUGACUUGGACAAGAGGUGGCAAGAGAAGACUGGUGAGGUUGUUGAUGAGGUCAUCUUCUUCAGCAAGCACACUGCUGUUUCUAACAAACCUGCCCUCACUGUUCAUCCCAUUGACGUGAGUUAGAUUAAGGCCACGUUAGGAUGAGCUGCACUGCCAAAUCCUCGGAUGGGUCCUUGGUUUCGACUUUUGAAGAAAUUGGCACAAGCUCAUAAUCUGGUCCCUGAAUUUGAGAUUACUUUGGAGGCCACUCAUCACGGGCCAUUCACGAUUCACGAAUAAGCCAACAAUGUUUCUUGAGAUUGGUAGUACCGAAGACUAUUCGAAAAGACAGGAUGCUGCUCAAGUAAUGGCUCAGGGAGAAUGAUAAGAAAGUCCUUCUUGGGAUAGGUGGCGGACACUAUGCGCCUCGGCAUAUGGAUGUAGUAUUGUGAGCAGUCAUUAUCCUUGUAGUUUAAUUUUCUCUCUGACUUUUGAAAGACGAUGUCUUGGGAGUGAGAGGACAAUGCGAAACAAUGCUGCUUCGACAAAUUGACAUUACAAACCAUAAUGCAAAUCUGCAGGCCUUUGUUGUUAAAUAAUCUCAGAUAUACGCUUCUGCAAUAUCCACAAGACGAAUGAACUGCUCCAGAUAGUAGGUUUCUCAGUUCUGCUCCUGCCACUUACUUAAUUCUCGGUUGCUAUGGGUUCUUGUUGUACAAAGGUUUGUUCUUGUUCUUGUUUCUCUUCUCUGAGUACAUUGCCAUUUGCGCACAACUCGGCUUCACUUGGCUUGUCCAUGGGACUGGGAGCCGCAUUCAGAGGUGGAACUUUGCUUGUUUCAUGGGAAAAGAUGUUAUUUUCUUCAUUGGCCUCAGCCACCUUGACCUUAUCUUUCACUGUUGAAUUGGACAAGGUGGUAACUUUAGUCGCUACACUAGAUAGGGAGGUUUUUGUGAUCUUAGAUGGAGUCCGCACAGUAGAUGAAUUGGAUGGACUACUCUUUUCAGAAGCCAGUAGAGGAGGAAGAGAUUUUCGCUGCGGCUUUUUUUGAUUGACAGGAGAAAUUCCUUUAGUUGGUGUACUCUGAGACGCUUUCUCAUCGAGGCUUAAACGACCUACUUGAGUGCUGCUGAUAGCGUCUCCUUCUGACUCUGGAUGUGUUGCGGUCUUCCUACGACCAAGCUUGGGGGAUUUCGCUCUUGUAGUUGGUAUCUACAUUUGUAAGUUCAUAGGCAAAUGAAUAUCAAUUUCCACAUGACAAGACCAAACUCACAAACUCAACAAGAUUAAGCACAAGAUAUGAAGAGGAGGAAAAGAAAAAAGGAAGGGGGGGGGGGGGGCUAUGGACAAGUACAAUGUCAAAUUUGGAUUGCAAAACAACUAAAGCAAGGAACAAGACUUCAACUUAUCAGUGAAGAAAAAUCAGAUUUUGAUCAAGUAAAAUCAGUUUAGAUGCAUAAAGUGAUGAGCCAUAUAUCACAUUUAAUUACAUAGAAAUCAGUUGAUCAAGUUAUGUGGAAGAGUGAGAAGAAAGCUCCAAUCAGAAGAGAUUGCUCAUCCGAAAUGGAUUGGAAGAUUGUCAUACAUUCUUAUUCUCAGAAACCGCAUGAAAAAUGUACCCAUGCCCACAUUUGUGCAUUCACAAAGCAAAAGUAAUAUACAUAAUAUGCAGUAUCCAUUUACA